GUAAAUAGAGGGCACCGUAUCUCAAGACAUGACUGGAGAGAAAAACUGUUUGGAGAACUGUACCUAGUCAAUGCACUUUGCUGUUUACAGUAUGCAACUUGCUACUAGGAGUUCAGAUUUGGUUAUAUUGUUGCAGACGGUGACAUUUUCUGCUGAAAACCACCAAGAUCAACGGACUAAAGGCCCCAAAGAAACCAACUAUCCAAUAGGUGUGGACCAAAGACUCAAAAGAAAGGAAAACAAACACAAAACACAAAGGAGAGGACGAAAGAGGUGUCCGGUGGCCGGCUGUCAAUGUAACAGGGUUAUAUUGGUGAUUCCCCUUGCCACUUUAUUGUUAAGCCAAUGGGUUUUUGGUUUGAGUUUGUCUUGCCUUCACCUACUCAACAUGGCAUCUUAUUGGCUGGUUUGCGUAGCUUGCUUACGAGGGGGGAUGUUCCAGUUAGAAUCGUCCCAGUGAACAAGCACCAAACCAGCGAAUAAAUCUACAUGACUGGUGCUACAUGUUGGAGUUCCGUGUCGAUGACAGAUUGUACACAACGCAAGAAGAGUACUGUUACAUCAAGUCACCGUCAUUCACCUACCUCGUCACCUGCGGCAGGUCCAUGAGUGGCGCAGAGAGGAGGCCCAGUCUGCAGUCAACACAUUCGGUCUCGGAGCACCAAGCAGACAUGGUGGCAGCAGCCAGGCUAAAAACAACCAUCACUCCAGGCCUUGCCCCAUGACAGGCUGUCAUGAAGUGGUCAAAAGACUGCCAGCCCACCUGAGAAAGCAACACAAGCUUGAAAAGAACUCUCCUCUAUACAGAGAGCUUCAUACAGCAUCACAGAAGAGAAGGUCAAAUGUCAAUGAAUGAAUUUUAUGAUGUUUACUGUGAAUAAUUAUUCUAGCUGAUGUAUUGAAGUUGAAUGAGAAAUAUGUAAUUGAAUUGGGACAUGAUUUAACAAGACAAUAUUUGGGAAAGGAAUAAAGAAUGUGCUUGAACUGCCACACAGCUCGACUAA